GACCCAGACUCCUACGGGAGGCAGCAGUGAGGAAUAUUGGUCAAUGGGCGCGAGCCUGAACCAGCCAAGUCGCGUGAGGGAGGACGGCCCUACGGGUUGUAAACCUCUUUUGCCGGGGAGCAACGGGCGUCACGUGUGGCGCCACUGAGAGUACCCGGAGAAAAAGCAUCGGCUAACUCCGUGCCAGCAGCCGCGGUAAUACGGAGGAUGCGAGCGUUAUCCGGAUUUAUUGGGUUUAAAGGGUGCGCAGGCGGAAUGUCAAGUCAGCGGUAAAAUUUCGGGGCUCAACCCCGUCGUGCCGUUGAAACUGGCGUUCUUGAGUGAGCGAGAAGUAUGCGGAAUGCGUGGUGUAGCGGUGAAAUGCAUAGAUAUCACGCAGAACUCCGAUUGCGAAGGCAGCAUACCGGCGCUCAACUGACGCUGAUGCACGAAAGCGUGGGUAUCGAACAGGAUUAGAUACCCGGGUAC
rnacentral:rRNA from 1 species